AAAGGGAAAGUAAAAGAGAGAGAUAAAAGACUAGAAAUCCAUUCCUUCGUCCAUUCCUUUCCAUUGUUUGCCUUUGCUCUUCUCGUUCCUUCACUUCAUGUCAGUUCACUUCCAAGCAAUGCAAACAAGAGGAAAGAA
rnacentral:ribozyme from 1 species